AGAGCCGCCCAAGGGCUGGCGAUGGCGUACUUGCCGUGGAGACUGGCGCAGCGUUGGUGUCCGAGGUCACUAGUUUUCCGGCAGUUCAGCUGCACAUGAAUAGAACAGCAAUGAGAGCCAGUCAGAAGGACUUUGAAAAUGCAGUGAAUCAAGUGAAACUCUUGAAAAAGGAUCCAGGAAACGAAGUGAAGCUAAAACUCUACGCGCUGUAUAAGCAGGCCACUGAAGGACCUUGUAACAUGCCCAAACCGGGUAUAUUUGACUUGAUCAACAAGGCCAAAUGGGAUGCAUGGAAUGCCCUUGGCAGCCUGCCCAAGGAAGCUGCCAGGCAGAACUAUGUGGAUUUGGUGUCCAGUUUGAGUCCUUCAUUGGAAUCCUCUAGUCAGGUGGAGCCUGGAACAGACAGGAAAUCAACUGGGUUUGAAACUCUGGUGGUGACCUCCGAAGAUGGCAUCACAAAGAUCAUGUUCAACCGGCCCACAAAGAAAAAUGCCAUAAACACUGAGAUGUAUCAUGAAAUUAUGCAUGCACUUAAAGCCGCCAGCAAGGAUGACUCAAUCAUCACUGUUUUAACAGGAAAUGGUGACUAUUACAGUAGUGGGAAUGAUCUGACUAACUUCACUGAUAUUCCCCCUGGUGGAGUAGAGGAGAAAGCUAAAAAUAAUGCCGUUUUACUGAGGUAAGAGUAACUGACCUUUGUCUGAUCCCAGAGGGCCCGUUCUUAGUCAUCAAAGUGGUACUUAGUGAGCAAAAGUGCAAUAUCUACUUCUCUGUGUCAGUGCAGUUAAUUGUGACUUUGGACAAGCAUAUUUCUCUAAACUGCCUCCAUCCAUAGGUGGGCAUUCAUUCUUUCUCUUUGACCUCUGUUACCUGUUCAUCCUGCUGGUCUCAUGAGAUUGGACUGGAAAACAUAAAAGUGAGCUAUAGUCGUAAACAAAAUUAUCUUGCAUUGAGGCAGAGGAAUUUAGCCAAUUCUCAUCCAGCCAGAGGAAUGGGAGAUUUCCAUGAAUGCUGAAAGUAGGAGACUUGGAGGAGUCUUGUAAAACACAGGAGGAGGUCAUGAAGGCUUUCCUCUUUAUUUCUGCCAAAUCUGUAAUUCCCACUUGCUGUGAUAUUGCAGCAUGUGCUCAGUCACCCAACCUAAUCUCUAAGACUGCGGCUGGUUUACAGCCCUGAACUCACUGUCCAGAAUACAAGAUUCAAACCAGAGUUGACCCGUAGGUCUCACUGGUUGGUCUUCCAUCCACUGCCAUUCAGACAGAUGCCCUGGAUGAAUCUGGUGCAGAAGACCAGGGAAGUGACAGGACAGGGAGGCACUGCUGGUGGUGGCUGUGGAAAUACCCAGCCUAACAGAAGGCUUUAUCUCAGAGUCAGACUGUCUUGCCCAUGCUUCAGUCAUGCUGCUUUGGCACAUUUAAUGAUUUUGUGUUUCCAUUUCUGUAGGGAAUUUGUGGACUGUUUUAUAGAUUUUCCUAAGCCUCUGAUUGCAGUGGUUAAUGGUCCCGCUGUGGGCAUCUCCGUCACCCUCCUUGGGCUAUUCGAUGCCGUGUAUGCAUGUGACAGGGCAACAUUUCAUACACCAUUUAGUCACCUAGGCCAAAGUCCGGAAGGAUGCUCCUCUUACACUUUUCCGAAGAUAAUGAGCCCAGCCAAGGCAACAGAGAUGCUUAUUUUUGGAAAGAAGUUAACAGCGGGAGAGGCAUGUGCUCAAGGACUUGUUACUGAAGUUUUCCCUGAUAGCACUUUUCAGAAAGAAGUCUGGACCAGGCUGAAGGCAUUUGCAAAGCUUCCCCCAAAUGCUGUGAGAAUUUCAAAAGAGGUAAUCAGGAAGAGAGAGAGAGAAAAACUACACGCUGUUAAUGCUGAAGAAUGCAGUGUCCUUCAGGGAAGAUGGCUAUCAGAUGAAUGCACGAAUGCUGUGGUGAACUUCUUAUCCAGAAAAUCAAAACUGUGAUGACCGCUACAGCAGAGUAAAGCACGUCCAAGGAAGGAUGUGCUGUUACCUCUGAUUUCCAGUACUGGAACUAAAUAAGCUUCAUUGUGCCUUUUGUAGUGCUAGAAUAUCAAUUACAAUGAUGAUAUUUCACUACAGCCCUGAUGAAUAAAAAGUUUUGUAAAACAA
rnacentral:sRNA from 1 species